rnacentral:misc_RNA from 1 species
GGGAAUCUCAAAUGCAGCAACUUUGUCACCCGUAUGAUCCCACUCAUCAGCUUGUCCACAAUAUUCAACGAUUGUCAUCUGAGCAUAAUGAUUUUUCAUUAAAGAAAAUAUCUGCAGCUCCCACGCAUUGUGGGUCAACCAAUGUUUUAAAUGGUACUUUAGAAGGUAAUGCAGCAAACUAUAGUGUGAACGGUAGCGCCUC